CCUACGGGUGGCAGCAGUGGGGAAUAUUGCACAAUGGGCGCAAGCCUGAUGCAGCCAUGCCGCGUGUGUGAAGAAGGCCUUCGGGUUGUAAAGCACUUUCAGCGGGGAGGAAGGCGUUAAGGUUAAUAACCUUGGCGAUUGACGUUACCCGCAGAAGAAGCACCGGCUAACUCCGUGCCAGCAGCCGCGGUAAUACGGAGGGUGCAAGCGUUAAUCGGAAUUACUGGGCGUAAAGCGCACGCAGGCGGUCUGUCAAGUCGGAUGUGAAAUCCCCGGGCUCAACCUGGGAACUGCAUUCGAAACUGGCAGGCUAGAGUCUUGUAGAGGAGGGUAGAAUUCCAGGUGUAGCGGUGAAAUGCGUAGAGAUCUGGAGGAAUACCGGUGGCGAAGGCGGCCCCCUGGACAAAGACUGACGCUCAGGUGCGAAAGCGUGGGGAGCAAACAGGAUUAGAUACCCCGGUAGUC
rnacentral:rRNA from 1 species